AGAGUUUGAUUAUGGCUCAGGAUGAACGCUAGCUACAGGCUUAACACAUGCAAGUCGAGGGGCAGCAUGAAGUUGCUUGCAAACUUUGAUGGCGACCGGCGCACGGGUGAGUAACGCGUAUCCAACCUUCCCUAUACUAGAGGAUAGCCCGGCGAAAGUCGGAUUAAUACUCUAUGUUCUUCGUAGAAGACAUCUGAAAUGAAGCAAAGGUUUACCGGUAUAGGAUGGGGAUGCGUCUGAUUAGGUUGUUGGCGGGGUAACGGCCCACCAAGCCCACGAUCAGUAGGGGUUCUGAGAGGAAGGUCCCCCACAUUGGAACUGAGACACGGUCCAAACUCCUACGGGAGGCAGCAGUGAGGAAUAUUGGUCAAUGGACGAGAGUCUGAACCAGCCAAGUAGCCGUGCAGGAUGACGGCCCUAUGGGUUGUAAACUGCUUUUAUACAGGGAUAAAGUUCACUACGUGUAGUGUUUUGUAGGUACUGUAUGAAUAAGGACCGGCUAAUUCCGUGCCAGCCGCGGC
rnacentral:rRNA from 1 species